CGACGAUUAUAAUAAUCGCUAGACUAUACCUUAAGCCUCAAUUUGGAGACCCAUUAACAUCUAGUCGUUGAACAGCACAUUUAUUUAAAAAUGCUUGGCUGCGGAUUAUUUUAAUGAUUAUUAAUUUUCACUAUUACAAAGUAUAAUAAUCAUAUCAAAAUUUUCCCGCAAUUUGUUAAUGUUGCUAAUAAAUAUUUAUUAACUAGGUUU
rnacentral:ncRNA from 1 species